UGCUGGAGCAAGAAGAUCCCAUGCUGUGACCCUCUGGAGGGAAGCGCUUUCUGUUGUCUGAAAGAAAAGAACGUGCAUCCCUUUAGAGGGUUACUCUUUGAGAAGAGCAACGUUUAAUUUG
rnacentral:precursor_RNA from 8 species